rnacentral:lncRNA from 1 species
CUGACGUAUGCGCGUUGACAUGGGUACCUGAGACACACAGGCAUGUACCAGAGGUGGGUUUCGUUCCCGUUAUAUUAGCAGCCACAAGACCGACAAACACAAAUACAAAAGCGAACGACAACAUUGUUCCAGAUAUUCGUCCAAGGCUUUCUUCUUGAAUAUGUCCUGAACAGGCUUCUAAAAGUCACGGAACUGUUUAGAAUGAAAUUCAAAACAGUGUGGCUGUGGCCAUUGAUUGACACAUUAAAUUCAUCCAUUGACUGGGACAAUUUACGUGAACGUUUGUCUGUGUAACGACCACUGUUCACGACGUACCUAUGAUAGACAUUUAAACUGUGGGGUCACCAAAGGUUUCUUAACGCCUUUAAUUAUAAAAUAAUUCGAAAAAUUAAUCAGGA